rnacentral:rRNA from 1 species
AGGGCACCACCAGGAGUGGAGCCUGCGGCUUAAUUUGACUCAACACGGGAAACCUCACCAGGCCCGGACACCGGAAGGAUUGACAGAUUGAUAGCUCUUUCUUGAUUCGGUGGGUGGUGGUGCAUGGCCGUUCUUAGUUGGUGGAGCGAUCUGUCUGGUUAAUUCCGAUAACGAACGAGACUCUGUCCUGCUAACUAGGCGGGUGUCCGUUGCGGCCGGCGGUGCAGCGAUGCGCCAUUGGUUAGCGACGGAACGGUAUCCCCGAAUGCGUGCGACCGACGGGUAUUCUAGUUUCGGCGGUGUCCGGGCGUAUGCACGCGUGUUUCACGAUGCGUGCGUGUGCGUUCGGUGCCGUCGGACGGGCCUGUCGGUUGCCGUUUCAUCGGGCUACUGCCGGCUUUCUGGCUUAAACUCUUCUUAGAGGGACAGGCGGCGUUACUUUUUAGCCGCACGAGACUGAGCGAUAACAGGUCUGUGAUGCCCUUAGAUGUUCUGGGCCGCACGCGCGCUACACUGAAG